rnacentral:tRNA from 1 species
GCCUGGCUGGCUCAGUUGGUAGAGUAUAUGGCUCUUGAUCUUAGGGUCGUGAGUUCAGGCCCCACGUUGGGCA